rnacentral:snRNA from 1 species
UGACUGUGAUAUUAGUUGGCAACCCAUUGGUUGGCAAGGAUGAUUUGGCAGACCUGGCUGGCUAGGUGGGCAUCUGGUUCCUCCAUAAUCACUCCAUGUGCCUCUCCCAAAGCUGUAUGGUCAGUUGUGGAGAAUGACCAUUCUUCCAUCAAGGCUUUAGUUGCAUUCCCCUGCUAGGGCCUCCAAACAAGUUUUCAAAGUAAGCUAUUUGAGGGUUAGUCCAGUUAGAAUGCUGUGCAGCUGCCACACUCCUUGAAGAGCCAACAUCCUGCUGAGACCUU